rnacentral:ncRNA from 1 species
CUCGUGUCGUGAGAUGUUGGGUUAAGUCCCGCAACGAGCGCAACCCUUGUUCUGUGUUGCCAGCAUGCCCUUCGGGGUGAUGGGGACUCACAGGAGACUGCCGGGGUCAACUCGGAGGAAGGUGGGGACGACGUCAAGUCAUCAUGCCCCUUAUGUCUUGGGCUGCACACGUGCUACAAUGGCAGGUACAAUGAGCUGCGAAGCCGUGAGGCGGAGCGAAUCUCAAAAAGCCUGUCUCAGUUCGGAUUGGGGUCUGCAACUCGACCCCAUGAAGUCGGAGUUGCUAGUAAUCGCAGAUCAGCAUUGCUGCGGUGAAUACGUUCCCGGGCCUUGUACACACCGCCCGUCACGUCACGAAAGUCGGUAACACCCGAAGCCGGUGGCCCAACCCCUUGUGGGAGGGAGCUGUCGAAGGUGGGACUGGCGAUUGGGACGAAGUCGUAACAAGGUAGCCGUACCGGAAGGUGCGGCUGGAUCACCUCCUUU